rnacentral:rRNA from 1 species
AGUGAACGCUGGCGGUAGGCCUAACACAUGCAAGUCGAACGGCAGCACAGUAAGAGCUUGCUCUUACGGGUUGCGAGUGGCGGACGGGUGAGGAAUACAUCGGAAUCUACUUUUUCGUGGGGGAUAACGUAGGGAAACUUACUCUCAUACCGCAUACGACCUUCGGGUGAAAGCAUGGGAUCUUCGGACCUUGCGCGAUUGAAUGAGCCGAUGUCGGAUUAGCUAGUUGGCGGGGUAAAGGCCCACCAAUGCGACGAUCCGUAGCUGGUCUGAGAGGAUGAUCAGCCACACUGGAACUGAGACACGGUCCAGACUCCUACGGGAGGCAGCAGUGGGGAAUAUUGGACAAUGGGGGCAAGCCUGAUCCAGCCAUACCGCGUGGGUGAAGAAGGCCUUCGGGUUGUAAAGCCCUUUUGUUGGGAAAGAAAAGCAGCAGGUUAAUACCCCGCUGUUCUGACGGUACCCAAAGAAUAAGCACCGGCUAACUUCGUG